rnacentral:sRNA from 1 species
GAUUGGCGGCCGGAGGGAUGGCAAAGCUGCCACGCGCACGGGGGUGCGGGCUGCGGGACUGCGAUUGCUGCCGGGUAGGACCAGCUCUGUCUCGGAAGACCUAGGCUGUAGACGUGGGGAUUUCAGUAGGAAACAUUAUGGAUCUGUGGAGCUGCUUAUUUCCAGUGAUGCUGAUGGAGCCAUCCAAAGGGCUGGAAGAUUCAGAGUGGAAAAUGGCUCUUCAGAUGAGAAUGCAACUGCCCUGCCUGGUACUUGGCGAAGAACAGACGUGCACUUAGAGAACCCAGAAUACCACACCAGAUGGUAUUUCAAAUAUUUUUUAGGACAAGUCCAUCAGAACUACAUUGGAAACGAUGCAGAGAAGAGCCCUUUCUUCUUGUCCGUGACCCUUUCUGACCAAAACAAUCAACGUGUCCCUCAAUACCGUGCAAUUCUUUGGAGAAAAACAGGUACCCAGAAAAUAUGCCUUCCCUACAGUCCCACAAAAACUCUUUCUGUGAAGUCCAUCUUAAGUGCCAUGAAUCUGGACAAAUUUGAGAAAGGCCCCAGGGAAAUUUUUCAUCCUGAAAUACAAAAG